CGGCUGGGGGCUUUAUUAGGGGGCACCGGGGUCUGCUUUCCGACUCCCUUCCGACUCCGCGCCUGCGCAGGAAGCGAUUUGGGGAGUGUUGUGAAUUCCGAGGGCUCCACACUUAAGAGGUUGUACACUCACCUGUCUACCUGGACUCCAAUUUCCAUAUUUCCAGCCACUUGAGGACUGAGAGGUGGAUGAUAAACCCUGUCAUAGUGGAGCAAGUUCAGGUGUUUAACCGCUGUUAUGGGGGAUCUGCCUUUUCUCCCUCUUCUUUCUUACUUCCAUAAGUAUGUAUGUGCAGAGAUUGAAAAAUAACCUUGAGAGAGUCCAUCCAUCUAACUCCAGGAAACAUUGCAGCGUUAUAAGAGAAAUUAUAGACUAUUUGUUGAAGCUCAGCAUGUCCAUCUCCCUGCUUUGAAGAAGGAUGUUGGGAACUGACUGUAAGGAAGACAGGAUUGGAGAACCAGGUUUAGAAGAGAAAAGGCAGUGCCAGAAGUUUUUGAUUGGAGAAAACUACAGGGUAAUGUUGCACAAGAACCAUUGCUGGACUGCAUCAUUGCUUACCCAACAUGACUCAGCCUCGGUAUUGCCACUGACUCACGGAGCUCCUAAUAGAGGAGAAUUAGUGUCACAGAUCGACUGGAAAACCAAUCCACAUGAAGCCAGGAAGAGAAAUGAAGCUGCUGUUGCUGAAUCCAUAGCUGGCCUUAAUGAUGCUGGCUAGGAAAGACGGCCCAUUCUGGGGGAGAUAAGUCAAUUUUGCAGUGUCUGUUAUUAUCAUAGUGACUAUUGUCUUCCUGUUUUAUAUUUAUUUACCUAAAUUGUUUUGGAAAGACUCAGAGGUAUAGAGACAUGCCUACUUUUUGCAAAAAUCAUCACACUGUCAUGGAGGUAGUCCAGGCUAUGGGGCUCUUAUUUGUUGGUGUCUUGGGCAAGUUGCUUGACCUCUGAUCAUUGUUUGCUUAUUCUUAUAUGGCCCCUGUAUUUCAGACUCACUCUGUGUCAGGCAUUUGUUUACCUUUGUAGCAAGCUCAGGAGGAAAAUACCAUUGCCCUUGUUUUACAGGUGAUGAAACUGUACGUUUUCCAAGGACACAGUGCUAGUAAGUAAUGAAUGUGAAAUUUUAACUGUUUCAAUCUCUUCUCAGAGCCAGUGCUAACUACUCUCCUAAACUUCCUCUCAUCUGUAAAAUAUGGAUGAUAAUAACACCUCUUACAGAGUUGUUGUACAUAUUAAAUAAUAGAACUGUGAAA
rnacentral:lncRNA from 1 species